CAUUUCAUGUGGGUAACAUUCUCCCGGCGUCGUGAAUAAAGCUGCAGUCUCACACCAGUUGUCUUGGAUUAAUUUUGACCACAUUAAUGGCGACGAGGAUGGGAUUACCUAUCUAUGAGGCACAGUGAGGAGGACCAAAGGCGCAGGACCCCAACCAUGUCGACUGGAGGGAGAUCUCUUUGUGAUCUUGGGAGAAGGCCGUCAUCGGCAACAAACACUGCUUUGCGGCACCCAGCCUGGCCAGAGGGAAUCCUCCUGUGUUUCGGAUACGGUAACGACCGUAUUCGGUGGUCACAGACAACGUGGUGAUAUUUUUCUGUCCAAGCAGAUGAAUUGGUAGCCCUAUUCAGGGAAUGUAUUUAAGCAAAUGGGAAUCAAUUUGUAUUUAUAUAUAUAGUCAUUAUAACUGGGGAAUUGUGCAUGAUCACAUCUACAGACAAACCUGUACAACAUAAAAAUGGGAUAGCAAUAUUGUUAAAUGCCAUUCAACUCCCUACAUCUGUGGCUGUCUUAAAAUGUGCAGCCCACUCUGCAAAUACAGAUGUUAUCAGCUGGGGCAAUAGGAAGGCUGACGCGGCAGCUACAGAAAGAGAGCCGCGCAGGGGGGAGUGCAGAGAAUAUCACCAAACUUUUUGAAACCACAUUUCUGAAUUUACAAAUACCAGAUGUAGUUACAUCUGAAGAGGCUUUAAAGGAAGCAUAAAAGCAUCAGAUAAUAAGGAAAGAUGGAAAUGGAAGAAUUGUAAGGACAGAACACAUGGUCUGUGGGUACAGUACAUACACCGACAGACAGACCGGUUUUUCCAAGAUCUUGUUUCCAUAUUAUUGCUAAACUAUCAGUGGCUUAGACCAUGCAAAUACUAUGACAUAGACAGAAGAGAAAAUAUAUUUAACACUAGGAUUCACUUCAGUAGCAGCCAUGUAUUGUGCAAGGCGCAUUAUGUGUCUAAAAAUUGAUGUUGCACUUACAAUGAGAGUCAAGGAAGGACAUCACCCACCAUCUGAAGGCCCGUUUAAGCACAUAAUGAUGGAGUUCAUUAAAUUCAACAAAUGUAGAGGAUAUGAAUAUUGUUUGGUGAUAGUUGACAUGUUCUAAAAAAGUCAAGCAUGCGAAUGCCUUAUCAGUAGCUAAGGCUUUAAAGAGAGAUGGUGUGCCUAGAUGGGGCACAACAGAAUUGACUAAAAUCAUAGUGUCAACAGGGAUGGAUUGGGUGACAGCUCUUCCUUUGGCUCUACUCUACCUCAGAGGCCGUUCAUCAAGAUCUACAGGGUUUAGCCCUUUUGAGAUUUUGACCGGACGUCCCUUGCCGGCUCCCACCUAACCUAAGAGAUAUACAUAGGACAAUGGUUACAUGCGAGAACUGAUUGCUGCUCUGUCUUCUGUUUCCCAACAGGUGGCCUCAGCCCUUCAAAAAAAAAAAAAACUUCCAGGACACACCUAGCCAAGCCAGGCUCCUGGAGACUCAUCAAAGAUUUGUAAAGGACACUGGAACCUCAUCAAGUGUUCUUAGCGACACCUACAGCCAUGAGGAUUGCGGAUAGAGACUCUUGGGUCCAUUUGUCACACUAUAGAGUGGUGAAGAAUCCGGAACAAUACAUGGAUUGAACUGAGUAUCAUAACCAACAGGUGGUUGCACGAGAGGAUUGACAAACAUUUUUUGCAAUAGGCUGAAGAAUACAUAUUUUGAAGAGGAUUAAUAAAAUAUCACUAGCAUCUUAUAA